UGUGGAAUUAGUUCGAACGAUUAAUUUUCGAAAACGUACGUUAUUUAGGGGCACGCGAAAAUCGACUUUUUAUACGUAUGGAAUUUGGGAAAACUUCCUUCAUGAAAGUUGUAGAGCUCGUCGACACGAUCGCGUGCAUAUAUGGAACGCAAAAAUCGGAGCUCGUAUGAAUUAGUUAUGUUUUUUUGAAAACGUUUCCAGUUUAAUAUAAAAGCUUCCUUUUUUGUUAAUUUUUCCAAAAAUACAUUAAGUUUCCAAAAUUGGAAACUGAACAUUCUCUCUCUUCCUCACGCGUCCGAAACCGACGGAAACUGGGCAAUCCUUCGCCGGCGUCUAUCUUCCAAUUCCGGCCACCUCUGGACGAGCAACCACGUCCAUCAGCUUCGCCUCACUCCUCCGAAGCCAUCUGUGGCAACCUUGCACGGCGGCACGGCCCCUAGCGGCGGCGGUGGCCCGGUUUCGAUUUAAGCUCGAUUUUGGUCAACGCCGGUUUUCUCCUAGCUCCGGCCACCAAAACUUCCGAUCCUUGGCUCCAUGAACUCCCCUCAACCUGCUGAUCAUCAUACUAGGAGGAUUGCACCUAGAGUGACCGGUUUCACGUUCGUCGGAGCUCGUGGGUUCCCCUUGAUGUUAUUAACAACUCUCUAGAAGGCAUCGAGGCCUGAAAUUGAAGCUUUGACGUCGAAAUCGAGCCUUGCCGGAUUCUGCAAAAUUCUGGAAUUUUUCCGACCACCGAAGCUUUCGAUCGGUAUAUCUCGAGCUACAGACCAUAUUUUUCUGUGAUUCUUGAACCAGUGAGUUCUUCUUGAGUUUCUUAACAACUCUUCAGAAGGAAUCGAAGCCUUAAAUUGACGUUUUUAUGUCGAAUUGGAGCUCGCCGUUUUCUGCAGUUUCUCGCCGGUUUCUGGAAAAUUCCGGCCACCUUCAUACUGUUCAAGGUGAUUGACGAAUCGAGUUGGUGGACGAUUCAGAUGGAUAUGUGGCUUUUAGAAGACGCAGCUGGAAUUGGAGCGGGUAAUCCUACAGGACAGGAGAACCAGGACGGUGAUCGUGCGGUUAAAGCAAUUGUUAGAGUUUUACAGCAAUUGUAAGUUGUGAGGUGUGUUAUGCUCAUUUGAGCUUUACAAUAUUGCUUGUGAGAGUGGAUUGUAAUAAUGAACUCGAAGUUUCGAGAUUUGGAUUUUUGUAAUUGUAAUUAUUCAUGUUUCGGAUUUGAAUUUAUUAUUCAAAAUUCGGGGCGUGACAGUUUGGUAUCAGAGCGUAAGGUACAUAUUUGGUGAUAAUCAAUACUUCCCGAGUGAUGGCCCGUCUGCAGCGGAUCCCCAUCAUAUACUCUUCGGUAUUGGUAUAAUCAUUGGGUAUGUCUUAGUAUGGGGUCUAGACAGCGUGUAUGUCCGUAGGACGGUAGAGUUGCCUUCUAAGUUCGUAUUAGAAUAAGUUUAGUUUCCGCGAGUUGUGAUCUUCGAGGAAUGGAAACCUCCGGAUUUAACUCUGAUGAGUCAGUGAGGAUUGUUUAUGGAAAUGAGUUUCCGUUUGUAUGUAGAAGUGUUUGGUUGAAGGCAUGGUGUGAACCUAUGCUUGUAUCUGAUGUGGAUACGAGUAUUAAUUGAUAGUAAUUUUGCCUUCUUAAGUUGGACAUACAGAUGCAUUUGAAUAGAUUCUAGACUCAUGUGGAGUUGUGAGUAGUGUUGCGGUUAGGGAAGAAAUUAUUGUGGUUAAUUCUUCCAUGUGCUUGUAAGUUGUUGAGCAGAGUUCGAGAUGCGAGAACGGAGUUUGAUCUCGUGUUUGAGUGAUUGAGACGAACGACUAUAUAUUUGAAUUCUCUCCGAGUACCUACAAUCUUAAGGGCUAUUUGAAGUGGGACUAGUGGUAGUUUUGGUAUUUCUAAAUUUAAAUCGAGAUCCGAGGAACAUGUUUUGUAUACGUGGUGGAUAUUGCGAGCAUCAUUUUUGAUUGAUAUUUUGCGUUUCACAAAGACAACUGGAUUGGAAAUUCUCCGUUUGGACACCUUGGUCUGUUGACCUGACUAUGACUUGUGGACAUAGUUUUAUUUAAGUGAAGGAAAUUGAUUUUGUGAACUAGUUUUCUUAAGUUUUGGAUCGUAGUAUGGAGUUGGACUGAAGUGAAUUUGAGGUUGUUGUGUUUUAAGUUUAAGUAGGCGGGACACUUAAAGUUUUGAAAUGGAAUUUGAUCUUGGUCGGUAAUUAAUGGGGAGAAUUAGAGUCAACUCUCUGUAAAUGUUAUUAGAUGAGGGUGUGUUUCUGUGGUGAUGGAUUUUAGGAGAAAUGGUUAAGUGCAAUUUUGGGUAUUGAUUGUAGUGACAUUGUUGGGUAUCCAUAGUGGUUCAAGUGAAUUACUAUGCGAUAUGGAGUUUGAUUCGGUUUCUAAAUCGUAAAUUCAUAGGGUAUGAAUUGUGGUAAGUUUAAUGGAGAAAUUAAUAGAGGAAAUGGUUGAGAUUUUAUAAGAUUUGUAUGAGUAACUCUAAGGAUGUGGGUUUUUCCUAGCUAACUCAGGAUGUGUUUAGCUUUAUUAAACCCUAA